AUAUGCAAGGCCGGACGUCCUCGUGUUGGCAGCGCUGCAGGGUCCUUGCGCAGCUCUCUCCUGGUAGAUUUUCAGGAGUCCCGGGAGAUGAGGCCAAGAUCCAGCAGCAGAAGCCAUGAGAAGACGUUGGAACAUGAAGAUGUGACUGGCUACAGUAUGGCCAAGAGUCUUCCCCCUACACGUCCCUCUUCACUCCUUCCCACCAAGCCCUUGCCUCCCAUCCGGGAGAGCUCUUCCUUCAUCAAGCCAGGCAAGAUGGAUGAUGGAGAGA